UGGGGAAUAUUGGACAAUGGGCGAAAGCCUGAUCCAGCCAUGCCGCGUGUGUGAAGAAGGUCUUCGGAUUGUAAAGCACUUUAAGUUGGGAGGAAGGGCAGUAAGUUAAUACCUUGCUGUUUUGACGUUACCGACAGAAUAAGCACCGGCUAACUCUGUGCCAG
rnacentral:rRNA from 1 species